UGCGUGCUUGAUGCUGUAUUCGAGCUGUCUCCCAAGUGUAAGGUUCUGAAUAGACAGUGCAGCAGGAAGGUGGCUGAAGAGGAGAAGAGAAACAGCAGGAUCUUCAGCUGCAGCUUCAGCUACAAGCAUAAAAAAUUUUGGAAAUAAAAAUGUCAACCAAAAUAAAGAAAGCAGGAUCAAAUGAUGUGGUGUUAUUCAACAUUCACGGCACAAUAUGAAGACUUGCAUGGAUUCGACUUUGUGUUUAUUUCAGAGAUACAGAAUAUAUUUAACCAGAGCUAAAAUAGUGACAAUUGUUACUGAAAUGUUACGUAAAGGUGUUUUUUUUUCUAUUUAAUGAUGUGUACUUUAACUAAAAAUUUUAAUAUUGAUAUCAAAGGGAAUGAAAUAUUUUAGAUAAGUACUUCUUAUUCAACAUAUUAAAAAUAUAGUUUAUGUUUGAUUACUUUUCUAUUUCUGCUAAGGUAAAAUAGUUUUAUUACAUAUGACUUCAGAAUAUUAAUAUCUACUUGCGGAAAUAAAAAGACUAUCACCCUGUGAAAGCGACAUCACUGUUCUCAUAUAAAACAUGAGUAUGACAUUUUAGGUAUGCCUUUUCUUUGCUUCACAAUGGGAAUUUGAAUUUGCAAAUGAUUUUUGUUGAAAGGAGAGUGAAAAUAGUAUCAAUAGUAAGCACCAAUGAA
rnacentral:lncRNA from 1 species